GAUUACUCAGUCGGAUACGCUCAUCUGAUUGAUCAGGAUCCAUACUGGAAAGCAGGUGUUGUUCCAGAGUCCAGGACGAGUGACAUGAAAGAGAAAGAGGAGCUGGACGAUAUUUUAAAUCUGGUGGAAGAAUUACAGGCUGAAGUUGAUGCCCGGAGGUUUCUGCAGCUAUCAGUCACCUAUUAAGACAGCUUGAGUGGUUGUUUCGAAGCCGGUCUAGGUCAGGCCGCAACAUACAAUAAAUUUUUAUCGCACAAUCUUUUUUUUAAACUUAUAUUUCAACUAUAUUCUCAGCUCUUCUUAUUUCAUACUUCUUGUGCUUGUCCACUCUUUUCCAGUCUCUGGCUGUAUUUCAAUUUUGUCAGUCUGACUCCAUGAGUACAUGUUUGUACUUGCUGAUAAGUGCUACUAUGUACACAAGAUAAUUUGCAGUGCACUGGAAGCAGAGGGUCCGGGCUCGCUCAUCCAGGCAGAAAUAAAAGAGAAGCCAGCCCUGCAGAUGUGAUAAUUGACUCUAGCUGCUGUGGUUAGAUGAGAGACAGAGAGUUAGAUGAGAGACAGAAGGCCAGAAGCAAUGCUGUGUGUUUCCAUUGUGAUCGUUGCUAUAAAAAUAAAAAAAAAUAAUAAAAACUCUCCCAAGGUGGAAAAAUAAUCUGCCAAACAAAAUGAAUCAAAAAGAUAGAGACUGAAUGCAGUCGAUACAAAAAAAAAAUCAUUUGUAAAAUAGACAUUUGAUUGAAUGACAGUUUAUAGUUUUUAUGUGUAUUGUAACCAUGG
ensembl:lncRNA